AACGCGAAGAACCUUACCAGGGUUUGACAUGCACGUGCACCAGCCAGAGAUGGUUGUCCCUUCGGGGCGCGUGCACAGGUGCUGCAUGGCUGUCGUCAGCUCGUGCCGUGAGGUGUUGGGUUAAGUCCCGCAACGAGCGCAACCCUUGUCCUGUGUUACCAUGCCGAAAGGCGGCACUCGCAGGAGACCGCCAGCGAUAAGCUGGAGGAAGGUGGGGAUGACGUCAAGUCCUCAUGGCCUUUAUGUCCAGGGCUACACACGUGCUACAAUGGGCGGUACAAAGCGCUGCUAAGCCGCAAGGCGGAGCCAAUCGCAAAAAGCCGCUCUCAGUUCGGAUUGCAGGCUGCAACUCGCCUGCAUGAAGCUGGAAUCGCUAGUAAUGCUAUAUCAGAACGAUAGCGUGAAUACGUUCCCGGGCCUUGUACACACCGUAGAGAC
rnacentral:rRNA from 1 species